rnacentral:rRNA from 1 species
AUUGAACGCUGGCGGCAUGCCUUACACAUGCAAGUCGAACGGUAACGGGUCUUCGGAUGCUGACGAGUGGCGAACGGGUGAGUAAUACAUCGGAACGUGCCCGAUCGUGGGGGAUAACGAGGCGAAAGCUUUGCUAAUACCGCAUACGAUCUACGGAUGAAAGCGGGGGAUCUUCGGACCUCGCGCGGACGGAGCGGCCGAUGGCAGAUUAGGUAGUUGGUGGGAUAAAAGCUUACCAAGCCGACGAUCUGUAGCUGGUCUGAGAGGAUGAUCAGCCACACUGGGACUGAGACACGGCCCAGACUCCUACGGGAGGCAGCAGUGGGGAAUUUUGGACAAUGGGCGAAAGCCUGAUCCAGCCAUGCCGCGUGCAGGAUGAAGGCCUUCGGGUUGUAAACUGCUUUUGUACGGAACGAAAAGCCUCUUUCUAAUAAAGAGGGGUCAUGACGGUACCGUAAGAAUAAGCACCGGCUAACUACGUG